rnacentral:rRNA from 1 species
GUGAAUUGCGUGCCGGCUCCGGCGGUAAGACGAAGGGGGCAGACGUUGUUCGUGAUUACUGGGCGGAAAGUGCGCGUAGGCGGUCUGUUGAGGCAGGCGUGAAAGCCCUGGGCUUAACCUGGGAUGUGCGCUUGAGACUGGAAGGCUUGAGUGUGGGAGAGGUUGGUAGAAUUCCCAGUGUAGAGGUGAAAUUCGUAGAUAUUGGGAAGAACACCGGUGGCGAAGGCGGCCAACUGGACCACAACUGACGCUGAGGCGCGAAAGCGUGGGGAGCAAACAGGAUUAGAUACCCUAGUAGUC